AACCUGUUGACUGACUGAGCGGGCUUGGUCACUUGUCACAGACAGAAAUGCAGCUCUUCUCGGAGUGUUCAAUACAGAUCAUGAACCAUCUGCCCUAGCUUCUUCCCAGGUUGCAGAUUUAUCCGAGGAGUUUUGCAAAUUCCGCAGCUCUUGGUCUCUCCACUGAUCACGCACAUCAGGACAAUGGGACGUUUCUCUAAUGGUUAUUUGAAGCAACCCCAUAAAUCAGUGUGUCAAAGACCUAGAAGCAGGACGGGUCCUCUGGAAGCGCUGCUUGAUCUCACACUGGCCCACACUGAUUCCUUACGUGGUUUCAGAGGAUUUGGAUAAAAGGACUCCUGUGGACCCCUACAUUGGUGGCUUAACACUUGACUGUUCAACG
rnacentral:lncRNA from 1 species